ACCCGCUGAACUUAAGCAUACCAAUAAGCGGAGGAAAAGAAACCAACAGGGAUUGCCCUAGUAACGGCGAGUGAAGCGGCAAGAGCUCAAAUUUGAAAUCUGGCCCCCUUGGGGGUCGCGAGUUGUAAUUUGCAGAGGGGGCUUUGGCGUUGGCUGUGGUCUAAGUUCCUUGGAACAGGACGUCGCAGAGGGUGAGAAUCCCGUAUGUGGCCGCCGGCCUCCGCCGUGUAAAGCCCCUUCGACGAGUCGAGUUGUUUGGGAAUGCAGCUCUAAAUGGGAGGUAAAUUUCUUCUAAAGCUAAAUACUGGCCAGAGACCGAUAGCGCACAAGUAGAGUGAUCGAAAGAUGAAAAGCACUUUGGAAAGAGAGUCAAAAGGCACGUGAAAUUGUUGAAAGGGAAGCACUUGCGGCCAGACUUGCCUGUAGUUGCUCAUCCGGGCUCUUGCCCGGCGCUCUCUUCUGCGGGCGGGCCAGCAUCAGUCCGGGCGGUUGGAUAAAUGCCUGCUAAAUGUACCUCUCCUCGGGGAGGACUUAUAGGGCAGGCGGCACACACCCAGCCUGGACUGAGGUCCGCGCAUCUGCUAGGAUGCUGGCGUAAUGGCUGU
rnacentral:rRNA from 1 species